UCAGUAGCUAAAAAUCCAUCCGUUAGUCCACCUAUGAAAAUGACCUGUUGUUUAUAAUCACCCGUUUUAAAAGCAACCUGCAAGAAAUUGAAGGCAUCAUGUUAGAGAAUUGAGUACAUAAGAGUAAAUGGCAUUGGAAGUCCUUGAAGUUUUUGAUUCUAUAAUUACUUGCUUAAAUUGAAAAUUUUUCCCUCUGUUCCCUACACAUUGUCUUUUAGCAAGCUGCCAAGCUUUAGGUGGAGAAGGGGAAUGAUCAGAAUGUUUCUCCACUGUGCAUUCUUCAAUUUGACAGGCAAUAGAAGGACAGAAACCUCUAACUUAUUGAGAAAAGGGAUUCGAGGAGAAAAAUAGCAACAUAAGGCAGUUUGGUUCUGUAUUUUGUGUUUGAUUGUUUUAGGUUUAAUUCUUGAUUGGUCAUAAUCUUCCCUCGAGUUAUGAUCUGUGUCCCUAUAUAAAAAACAUGUUCCAGUCAAGAUAAUGUUUGAUGGAAAUAACACUCCACUGGCUAGAAGGACCAGUUAUGAGCACAAAUAAAUGUUGAAGGAUUAACGUGAGCAAAUCCAGACUGCUUUAGAGACAGUGAUUGAAAAAGCGAGAGCUUCGUCGCGACCCAUCACUUUUCUGACCCUGAAGCGAAUCGAUUUACAAAAGCGAGCGCUUCAAUACGAAGCGAAGCGAAAAAAGCGAUCACUUCAUUUAAAUGGGUCAAUUUUAAAUUUAAAAAAAAGAUUGGGUCUUUUUUUUAUUAUACAAAACAUAGACCCCAACCAAAAGCGAAGACAUUUCUUCUUCUUCUUCCAUCGAGCAUCGACUGCUGCUGCUGCUGCUAGGGUUUGCUGCUCCAGCCUCCAGGUCAUUUUUCUUCCUUCUUCUUUUCUUCUCUCUUCUUCCCGUCGAGGCGUCGACUGCUGCUCACUGCUUGGGCAGGCAGC
rnacentral:lncRNA from 1 species